UUUUGCGCGCUAUGGUGUGGGUAAGCGGAAACGCCCCAAUACUUUUAUUAUAUUUAGUAUAGGACACCUAAGGCGCGUUUAUUU
rnacentral:ncRNA from 1 species